rnacentral:rRNA from 1 species
GGUGAUUCUAGCGAAGAAGGCACACCCGUUCCCAUCCCGAACACGGUAGUUAAGCUCUUCCGCCCCGAUGAUACUACGUGGGCAACUGCGUGGGAAAAUAGGACAUCGCCG